rnacentral:rRNA from 1 species
CCUGGUUGAUCCUGCCAGUAGUCAUACGCUCGUCUAAAAGAUUAAGCCAUGCAUGUCUAAGUAAAAACAACUUUACUGUGAAACUGCGAAUGGCUCAUUAUAUCAGUUAUAGUUUACUUGAUAGUACCUUACUACUUGGAUAACCGUAGUAAUUCUAGAGCUAAUACAUGCAUCAACUCCCAACUUCUGGACGGGACGCGUUUAUUAGAUAGAAACCAAUGCUCUUCGGAGGUUUUGUGGUGAUUCAUAAUAACUGUGCGAAUCGCAUGCGUCAGCGGCGAUGAAUCAAUCAAGUUUCUGCCCUAUCAGCUUUCGAUGGUAGGGUAUUGGCCUACCAUGGCGUUAACGGGUGACGGAGAAUUAGGGUUCGAUUCCGGAGAGGGAGCCUGAGAAACGGCUACCACAUCCAAGGAAGGCAGCAGGCGCGUAAAUUACCCAAUCCUGACACAGGGAGGUAGUGACAAUAAAUAACAAUGCCGGGCUUUUUCAAGUCUGGCAAUUGGAAUGAGAACAAUUUAAAUCCCUUAACGAGGAUCAAUUGGAGGGCAAGUCUGGUGCCAGCAGCCGCGGUAAUUCCAGCUCCAAUAGCGUAUAUUUAAGUUGUUGCAGUUAAAAAGCUCGUAGUUGGAUUUCGGUUGAGAACGGCCGGUCCGCCGUUUGGUGUGCACUGGCUGGUCUCAACUUCCUGUAGAGGACGCGCUCUGGGUUAACGCUCGGACGCGGAGUCUACGUGGUUACUUUGAAAAAAUUAGAGUGUUCAAAGCGGGCUUACGCUUGAAUAUUUCAGCAUGGAAUAACACUAUAGGACUCCUGUCCUAUUUCGUUGGUCUCGGGACGGGAGUAAUGAUUAAGAGGAACAGUUGGGGGCAUUCGUAUUUCAUUGUCAGAGGUGAAAUUCUUGGAUUUAUGAAAGACGAACUUCUGCGAAAGCAUUUGCCAAGGAUGUUUUCAUUAAUCAAGAACGAAAGUUGGGGGCUCGAAGAUGAUUAGAUACCAUCCUAGUCUCAACCAUAAACGAUGCCGACUAGGGAUUGCAGGAUGUUAAUUGAUGACUCCUGCAGCACCUUAUGAGAAAUCAAAGUCUUUGGGUUCCGGGGGGAGUAUGGUCGCAAGGCUGAAACUUAAAGGAAUUGACGGAAGGGCACCACCAGGAGUGGAGCCUGCGGCUUAAUUUGACUCAACACG